UGCGUAGGCGGACUAAUAAGUCAGUGGUGAAAUCUCUCGGCUCAACCGGGAAACUGCCAUUGAUACUGUUAGUCUUGAGUUCGGUUGAGGUAGGCGGAAUGUGUAAUGUAGCGGUGAAAUGCUUAGAUAUUACACAGAACACCAAUUGCGUAGGCAGCUUACUAGACCGACACUGACGCUGAGGCACGAAAGCGUGGGUAGCGAACAGGAUUAGAUACCCUGGUAGUCCA
rnacentral:rRNA from 1 species